AGUGCAAAAAGGGCUGAAGACAGUUUUUUAUGCAAGUUGUCUAUAUGCUUGUGCCAGUUUAGGUUCUUAUCAAUUGUAAUUCCUAGGAAUUUUGCAUUGUCGGUUAUGUUUUGCUGCGUGAGGUUUUCUUCUUCUUGCUGUCUGUUUGUAGUUGUGAAUUUUAUGUGUAUAGUUUUCUUCUUAUUUAUAGUUAGGUUCAAUUCAAGUUGUCACAGAUUUCUGUUGAUAGUUGUAGGGUUUCUUCAAUUUUUUGGGGCGUUUCUUCUGAUUUAGUUGUCGGAGUGUAGUUUUGGUGUCAUCAGCGAACAUUAUGCAUGUAUAAUCUGGGGUAUUUGAUAAGACAUCAAGUUCAAGUUGACUAGUUGAGUGAGACAAAGAUAGAUAAAGAAAUCGUUUAGUGAGUUAGAGAUACUAACCUGUGGUUGACUAGUGACUAUUUUAAGCCAUACUUACCCCAAUUAAUUGUUUUGUAAAUGUGACUAACCUCCAACAAACAUGGUCUAAUUAACAACAAGCUUCGACAUAGUUAAUAAGAAUCUAUUGUAUGCCAUUACAACAACAAAAAAUGAAUAGUGAUGAGGAGGAAGUAUCAAAUCAGUCAAUUAAUAAAAUGAAGAAAUCAUUACAUUCUCAAGGAUAUCGUGAAGGUUUAGCCUCAGGAAGAGAAAUGAAAUUUCAACACGGAUUCGAUGAAGGUUUUGCUAAAGGUUUUCAUGCUGGAUAUGCUUUAGGAUUACACAAUGGACUUUUGAGUUGCCUUAAAUCGGAUUUGAGCACAAUCAAACAAGCAAUCAAAAAUCAACUUUCUACCAUAGAUCAAGUGGAUAAAGCAAGCAGAGGACUUUGUGUUAUCUGUUCACAAGAAAAAGAAUUCAGUCUAAAUAGUGAUUGCAGUGAAAGUCAACUUGAAAUGCAGCAAAUAACAGAAAUCAAACAACUUCAAGGAACAAUUAUUUGUGAAAGAAUAAAUCAAAUGUUAACAAAAGAUUAUUCUUCUAUUUUAAAAUCUAAUAGAUUGGAUGGUUUGUUAACAUCACUUUAAUUCUGUAAAGACUGCUCCUAAAAUCUCAUUGUUUAAAAUAUAAAUUUAAUGCUGCAACUCUAGGAUUUCAUUUUGUUUCAUCCAUCAUUAUAAAAAUGUAAUCCUGGAUUACAAAUUCUUCACAAAU